AAAUAAAUAUUUUAUAUAAUUAAAUUAUUUAUUCUAUGACAUGAUAAUGAUAAGAGACGAGCAUGCUUUAUACAAAUGAUGAUAUGAUUUGCGAUCAAAAAAACUAUUAUGAAAACCAAGUGAAAAUGCAUGCUUUAUCCUUUGAUAUAAAAACCAAUGGCUGCAAAAUUAUAAAUACACAAAUUUCUUGCUUUCUUUAUUUUUAUUUUUGAAUAUUGAUGGGAAAUUAAUUUCAAAUAAAGUUGAAUGGUG
rnacentral:misc_RNA from 1 species